UACAGAGGGCUCAAGCGUUGUUCGGAUUCAUUGGGCGUAAAGGGCGUGUAGGCGGUGUGCUAAGUCGGGCGUGAAAUUUCGGAGCUUAACUCCGAAACUGCAUUCGAUACUGCCGUGCUUGAGGACUGGAGAGGAGACUGGAAUUUACGGUGUAGCAGUGAAAUGCGUAGAUAUCGUAAGGAAGACCAGUGGCGAAGGCGGGUCUCUGGACAGUUCCUGACGCUGAGGCACGAAGGCCAGGGGAGCAAACGGG
rnacentral:rRNA from 1 species